rnacentral:misc_RNA from 1 species
AACGCAAAUUGCGCUCUCUGGUAUUCCGGAGAGCAUGCUUGUUUGAGUAUCAGUACAACACCUCAACUUUUUCUUUUUUGUCAAAGUUGGAUUUGAGCAAACCCAACAAAGAGGGCUUUCGUCCUCUCUGGCGGGUUGCUUGAAAUGCAGGUGCAGCUGUUACAAUAAGAUACAGACUGAGCUAAAAGCAUACCUAUUUAGUCCGUCUUUGCGCGGAUUAUUAUAUUUUGCUGCAGCUUACUCCAAAAGUCAAGUAUCCUUUUGUCGUGCUGACUGAUGCAGGAUAAUAUUUGAUAAGAAUCCUUGUGAUUCAUUUCAAAACCUCGAUCUCAAAUCAAGUAAGACUACCCGCUGAACUUAA